GAGUUGAUCAUGGCUCAGAAUCAACGCUGGCGGCGUGCCUAACACAUGCAAGUCGCACGAGAAAGGGGCUUCGGCUCUGAGUAAAGUGGCGCACGGGUGAGUAACACGUGAAUUAUCUACCUCCGAGUGGGGAAUAACCUAGAGAAAUCUGGGCUAAUACCGCAUAACACUUACGAGUCAAAGCAGCAAUGCGCUUGGAGAGGAGUUCGCGGCCGAUUAGUUAGUUGGCGGGGUAAUGGCCCACCAAGACGAUGAUCGGUAUCCGGCCUGAGAGGGCGCACGGACACACUGGAACUGAAACACGGUCCAGACUCCUACGGGAGGCAGCAGUGGGGAAUUUUGCGCAAUGGGGGAAACCCUGACGCAGCAACGCCGCGUGGAGGAUGAAAUCCCUUGGGAUGUAAACUCCUUUCGAUCGGGACGAUUAUGACGGUACCGGAAGAAGAAGCCCCGGCUAACUUCGUGCCAGCAGCCGCGGUAACACGAGGGGGGCAAGCGUUGUUCGGAAUUAUUGGGCGUAAAGGGCGCGUAGGCGGUUUGACAAGUCUGAUGUGAAAUCUCUGGGCUCAACCCAGAGUCUGCAUUAGAAACUGUCGGGCUUGAGUAUGGGAGAGGUGAGUGGAAUUUCCGGUGUAGCGGUGAAAUGCGUAGAUAUCGGAAGGAACACCUGUGGCGAAAGCGGCUCACUGGACCAUAACUGACGCUGAGGCGCGAAAGCUAGGGGAGCAAACAGGAUUAGAUACCCUGGUAGUCCUAGCCCUAAACGAUGAUUGCUUGGUGUGACAGGUACCCAAUUCCUGUCGUGCCGA
rnacentral:rRNA from 1 species